UAACAAGGUCUCCGUUGGUGAACCAGCGGAGGGAUCAUUACCGAGUUUACAACUCCCAAACCCCUGUGAACAUACCACUUGUUGCCUCGGCGGAUCAGCCCGCUCCCGGUAAAACGGGACGGCCCGCCAGAGGACCCCUAAACUCUGUUUCUAUAUGUAACUUCUGAGUAAAACCAUAAAUAAAUCAAAACUUUCAACAACGGAUCUCUUGGUUCUGGCAUCGAUGAAGAACGCAGCAAAAUGCGAUAAGUAAUGUGAAUUGCAGAAUUCAGUGAAUCAUCGAAUCUUUGAACGCACAUUGCGCCCGCCAGUAUUCUGGCGGGCAUGCCUGUUCGAGCGUCAUUUCAACCCUCAAGCACAGCUUGGUGUUGGGACUCGCGUUAAUUCGCGUUCCUCAAAUUGAUUGGCGGUCACGUCGAGCUUCCAUAGCGUAGUAGUAAAACCCUCGUUACUGGUAAUCGUCGCGGCCACGCCGUUAAACCCCAACUUCUGAAUGUUGACCUCGGAUCAGGUAGGAAUACCCGCUGAACUUAAGCAUA
rnacentral:rRNA from 2 species